AAUGAUGAACCUUCUCAUGUAGUAGGGUCAUGUACCAUGGUACCUUCCACCCUGUGUUCUCAGCCAUGGUGGUACUGGUGAAGUUAGACUUGUUCUGAUGUCCCUCUCUAGCUGCUCCGGGGUCAUCGCCAUGUAAAGUCCAAAGACGAAAAAUAACCCUGAAGGAAGGAGAGAUGACUAGAAAGAAUCCGGUUGACCGCUUUAUGUGUGGAUUAAUUGUUGGAGUAGAGGACCUUGUGCAUUUCAGGUAAAAUAACAACUCAAUGUUUAUAUCCCAGGACAAAUAAGCUAGCUAAAUUGCCAUAAAUGUUUAAUGCUUUUCGACCUGUCCCCAAAUUAAUAUAAUUGGUUGAGAGUUUGUUUUGAUAUUUCGUGUCAUGAUCGCGUUUGGAGUGAGGGGACAAAAUCAAUUUGCGCACGAUGGCGGAUGCACUCGCGCGUCUGGUUUGGGCAUGGUGUAAUGGUUGUUUAAAUCUAAAAUUAGCUUGACGCGUUUUCGGUUAUCCUACAGACUCAGCGCAUUGCUACAUGGUACUUGAAGGAGAAUUGGAGGUUAAUAAUUUAUUACACUGUUUAGAUUGAGCACAUUUAAACGAAAGCUAAACUUCGUCAUGACGAUAUAAACGGAUGGAUGUGUUCCAGAUGAGGAAGGCCAUCUAUUGGCUGAUUUGGCGGCCUGGAGUGUAGGUCAUUGUUUUAUGAAAUGUGAUCCCAUAUCUCCAGUGACAAUAAUUAUGUAGCUAUGAAGUGUUCUCACACGAUUUCCUGAUUUUCACAACUUGGAAGUUACAUCAUGGGGAAAUGUUGUAUUUUACCCACUGAUAGAACAUAAACAUUCACCAAAUAAACAGGAGUUAUGUUUUUUAUUUCUGGGGGUGGAUUAUCCCUUUAAACUGUAUAGUGGUUAAUCAGUAGCCUUGCCUCAACCUAGUCAAAAUGCGAACCAAGGCAGGGUAAAAGAUGCAUUAUUUGUGUAUGUAGAAAUAAGUAACAAACAAGGACAUAUUUUAAUCUUGAUGAAUGACUAUUUGUAAUUUUACGACAAGCUAAGAUGUUCUUUCCCUUUAGUUUACAAUGUCUGUUCUGCCUCUAGUGACUCAGCUGCCUUCUGAUGUUUAUUAAGUCUGCUAAACUCACUCCAAUUUUCACUGUUAUUGAAAUAUGAAAAACUAUGGCCUUGUCAUUAUUAAUUCAUGUUUGCUUGUUGGUAACUUAGACAGGCAAGGGCCUCCAAGUGGCGCAGCGUCUAAAAAUGCUGACCAGACCGCACGCGCGCAUCUGAGUGCACCAUCGCCCGCAUGUUGAUUUUGUCCCCCCACACCAGAGAUCAGGACAGCAGGUUGAUUUUGUCCCCCCACACCAGAGAUCAAAACACACAGGUUGAUUUUGUCCCCCCACACCAGAGAUCAGGACAGCAGGUUGAUUUUGUCCCCCCACACCAGAGAUCAGGACAGCAGGUUGAUUUUGUCCCCCCACACCAGAGAUCAAAACACGCAGGUUGAUUUUGUCCCCCCACACCAGAGAUCAGGACAGCAGGUUGAUUUUGUCCCCCCACACCAGAGAUCAGGACAGCAGGUUGAUUUUGUCCCCCCACACCAGAGAUCAAAACACGCAG
rnacentral:lncRNA from 1 species